rnacentral:rRNA from 1 species
ACAGCAGUCGCCACGGUAAUACGAAGGGGGCUAGCGUUGUUCGGAAUUACUGGGCGUAAAGGGCGCGUAGGCGGCCAUUCAAGUUAGAUGUGAAAGCCCUGGGCUCAACCUAGGAAUUGCAUUUGAUACUGUUUGGCUUGAGUUCGGGAGAGGUGAGUGGAAUUCCCAGUGUAGAGGUGAAAUUCGUAGAUAUUGGGAAGAGCACCAGUGGCGAAGGCGGCUCACUGGACCGACACUGACGCUGAGGCACGAAAGCUAGGGGAGCAAACAGGAUUAGAUACCCCUGUAGUCCCUGUCUCUUAUAC